UCUCUCUCUACUCUGCAAAGUUACAUUCAGCUUCACCUGCAUGACUUUCAUGAUAAGAGACAGAAAAGAUCUCCUGGGGACCUCAGAUUGGCCUUAUAGUGGUUUCUCUUUCCUUGAGGGGUACCACAGGU
rnacentral:snoRNA from 1 species